UUUCAACAUCCAUAACCAUUGAUCCAAUGUCAGCAAUUUCCCCCGGCCCUCUCCCCUAGGUUGGUUGCAGGAACAUGAAGCGUCUCAUGCUAUACAUGAGUGACAGUCUACCAAUGUACACUCUGGACUGUCCCUGGGUAGACUACAACAAGUUGCUAGUACGUUCCACGUUCUGUGUGCAGUGUACAAAGCUGUAGUGGCCAGAGAACCAGCUGAAAACUAGAAGCGUCUACUCUGAAAUAAUUUUCUCUCUCUCUCCUUCAACAAACAUCAGCGAAUCUUUCAAGAAAUUGGGAAUUAAAGACACUUCACAAAAUAUUCUACUUGUUGCACUGCAUUCAAAUGAGGCUGAUGCAAAGGCGUCUGAUUUAUUGGGCAUGAUUGAGGGUGACCUAACACCAUUGCAAGGCAUCCACUCGUGUAAUAAUACACAGAGUAUAAUCAAGGAGUACAAGAUUCCUCCUGAAGAGCUGGUGAUAUGCUCACUAGAGAACUGUGUAGUUACUAGGCUAGUCAUCAAACACGUUACCUAGGUCACCACCAUUAAUGUGUUAUUGUUUUAUUGUGUGGUGGCUAUAAUUAUAAUCAUUAUCAUGAACU